GAUCUAGACUACUAGCAAAGGUCAGGAAACCAUACUAGGCAUUGUAGGAUAGGAGGAUGAUGACUGGCAUUGGAUGCUGCUCAUUCUUAUUCAGCUACUUCAGGAGCAGACCUCCAAGAUGUAUGGCCUGUGGGCCAAAAUGCAGGACCAAGAUUCCCAAAAUCCCAAAGAAAAUAGCGCAGAUAUAGAUUUAGUACUUUGCAAUUUUUAUAGCAAUGUUUAGUGGUGCAUUUGCCGUCACGAUGAUGUUCCCUUUCCUACCAUUCAUGGUAGAGUUCCUAUUACCAUGGCUACUUGAAGACGAGACUCAAGUUGGUGAAUUCACCAGUGUUUACUGAUCAUGUAAUAACAAGAGUUUAUAAUAGAGAGAGAGUAUCGAACGUAGGCAUACUGUGUAUCAGAUGUAUGCGGAGAGUAACGUGACUUCCUGUAUCUGUCACAAGCUUGGAAUUUGCACACUGACCAAUCCAAGCGUGGGUGAUGUAAUCUAUCAACCCUUCCAAGUGUGGGUGAUGUAAUCUACUUUCUUGAUAGAUGACAUCACCCACACUUGGAUUGGUCAGUGUGCAAAUUCCAAGCUUGUGACAGAUACAGGAAGUCACGUUACUCUCCGCAUACAUCUGAUGUACAGUAUGCCUACGUUCGAUACUCUCUCUCUAUCAUAAACUCUUGGUAAUAAUAAACUUGCCCCAAAGCAAUGAGCGUACCGAAUUCCAUUAUCCAUUAUUGUUAACUAAGGAAGGUUUGCUCACAGUCUGUAAAGUAAGGCCACUCCAAGUGACACUCUGGUUUCUGGUCCUGAAGUUUUUCUAAUUGCAUGCGGGCGGGCGGGCGGCUUUUCUCAUUAUGUCAUUAUCAAUUUCACCUUAUGAACUCAUUAUUUUGCAAAUGAAUAUCAUUAUCGUACCACAUGGACCAUUCUGCGCAUGCGUAGUAGAAAUAAUGAGAUAGAAAUCCAAGAAUAAAAUUUGAUGCGGGCGGUGGACCAGAAACCAGAGUAUCACUUGGAGUGGCCUAAAGGUUUAGAUAGAUUGUUCUAAUUUAUUUCCUUCUCUAUACCACAAUUUAAUAACCAAACUAGACUGCACUCUCUGAUAUCCUUGUUCUUUGUCCAGGAAAGGUCUGUUGUGGUUUGUCCUGUGUCUAACACUGAUCGUUAACCAAGUCUGCAUUGGGGUGCUCAUGAGCUGUAGCAUUCUGUUCAUCAACAAUUCUGCCCCCUUUGGCAAGCUUGGAACCAUCCAUGGCCUAGCCACCUCUCUCACCUCAUUUGGAAGGUCGUUGGCUCCAGUGGUGGCAGGAGGUAUGUUUUCCCUCAGUUUGUCUGCUACUAUGAGUGGCUAUGGAUACCCUAUCGACUACAGAUUCGUCUUUCUCAUGUUCGGACUAAUGUAUCUCUGGUGUGUGUUGUUUGUCGCUUGUCUGCCUGUUAGCAUCAAUAAACAAAAAAUAAUUGAAAAAUGACAAUGUUUGUUUUGGUCGGUGCUAUUUGUUUACCGUAUAGCAUAUAUAUAGGAGCAAUGAUUUAUG